rnacentral:rRNA from 1 species
CACGUAGUUAGCCGUGGCUUUCUGGUGAGGUACCGUCAAGGUACCAGUAGUUAGUUGGUACUUGUUCUUCCCUCACAACAGAGUUUUACGAUCCGAAAACCUUCGUCACUCACGCGGCGUUGCUCCGUCAGACUUGCGUCCAUUGCGGAAGAUUCCCUACUGCUGCCUCCCGUAGGAGUCUGGGCCGUGUCUCAGUCCCAGUGUGGCCGAUCACCCUCUCAGGUCGGCUACGCAUCGUCGCCUUGGUGGGCCAUUACCCCACCAACUAGCUAAUGCGCCGCGGGCCCAUCCUGCAGUGACAGCCGAAACCGUCUUUCCGUGGAACCUCAGGAGAGGUUCCAAACUAUUCGGUAUUAGCACCGGUUUCCCGGAGUUAUCCCGAUCUGCAGGGCAGGUUGCCCACGUGUUACUCACCCGUCCGCCGCUAAACGCUUGGAGCAAGCUCCAAGUGUUCCGCUCGACUUGCAUGUAUUAGGCACGCCGCCAGCGUGUCCUGAGCAGGACUCAAACUCU